GACGCAACGCGAAGAACCUUACCUGGGCUUGAACCGCUACUGACCAAUGGUGGAAACAUCGUCUUCCCGCAAGGGACAGUAGUAGAGGUGCUGCAUGGCUGUCGUCAGCUCGUGCCGUGAGGUGUUGGGUUAAGUCCCGCAACGAGCGCAACCCUUACUCUUAGUUGCCACCCGCAAGGGGGAACUCUAAGAGGACUGCUCCGGAUAACGGAGAGGAAGGUGGGGAUGGCGUCAAGUCAGCACGGCCAUUAUGUCCAGGGCUACACACGUGUUACAAUGCGUGAUACAAACCGUCGCGAACCCGUGAGGGGGAGCUAAUCGGAAAAAACCACGCUCAGUUCGGAUUGCAGUCUGCAACUCGACUGCAUGAAGCUGGAAUCGCUAGUAAUGGCGUAUCAGAACGACGCCGUGAAUACGUUCCCGGGCCUUGUACACACCGCCCGUCACAUCACGAAAGUGGGCUGUACUAGAAGUCGCCAUGCUAACCGCAAGGAGGCAAGCGCCCAAGGUAUGGCUCAUGAUUGGGGUGAAGUCGUAACAAGGUA
rnacentral:rRNA from 1 species